AUUGCAGCUAGACAUUUCAUAAAUAGAUAAUUCUCUAAUUGAUCCAGCCAAUCCUACUUUGCAUACCCUGCCAAACUAGUCGCAGCUACAUGUGGUGGAGCCCUGCUUUCCUGGACAUGGGUGAACAUCUGCCUGCUCAUGUGAAGUGGAAUCUUCUUGUCAUGGAUCAUCCUGAGAUUCCAGCACCUGGACAAGUGGUCUAAGAAACCAUCAAAGCCUUCUUUGGACUGGCAGCCUUGAUCGCUUGGUCUUCAUAUCAGACUUACAUUUUAUCAGUCAGGAAAGAUUAUUGCUGCCUGCAUAGAUACUUGUGACUGGCCUUCCCUCCCAUCCCAAAGUAGGCGUUCAAGCUGUGACUUGUCCAGGCCAGACAGUCCCCUAUCUAAUAACAGACUGGAAUUGCAAACAAUCUUUGCUACUGUGGAAUUAAAAAAAUUUUUGAAAACAUAGGGAACUGUUCCCACCAUUAUUGUAGCUUUUGUUUAAUAACUGUAUCAUAGGGUAUUGCUUUGUAUUUGUAUUUGCUUUGUGCAAGGUUUUGUUGGCAGAGGAGGUUAGAGGGUGGCUUCUGUGAGAAGCUACUAAAAGCUUGCCCCACUGCUGGCUCCAAGGCAGACCCGCUGCUGGCCAAGAGUGAGCAGUCAGUGACAGUGGUAGUACCUCUGGGAUAAUGUAUUUAAGAAGGUGAAAAACAUUAUUGCACAGAUACAUCUGUGGCCAAAGAAGAGAGUGAGAAUAUGUAAGAACAAACCUGCAGACUUUCAAGAAGCAGAUAUUCACCUGCAGCCCACAGGAACCCCAUACUAGGGGAGGCUUCUGUAAGGACACAUGGCCCUGUGGAGAGGGGAGCACACACUGGAACAGGUUUGCUGUCAGGACUUGUGGUGUCAUAGGGGACCCAGGCUGGAGCAGCUGUUUACUGAAGAACUGCACCUCAUGGUAAAAAAGGGACCCCACACCGGGGAAAAGGAUGGACUCCUCUUCCUGAGGAGGAAGGAGCAGCAGAAACAAGAUAAAUAGAUUUUAACCCCCAUUCCCCAUCUCUCUGCACUCCUGGGUAGGAGGAGGUAGAGAAACAGUGCUAAACUUGGGCCUAGGAAGGAGGGAAGGUGAGGGGGUAAGGUAUUUAAGAUUUUUUUUUAUUAUUAUUUCUCAUUAUCCUACUCUGAUUUUGAUUGCUAAAAUUUCAAGUAACUUCCUCAGGUGUGUCUUUUUGAUUUUACCUGUGAUGCCUGGUAAUCACUAAGGGAUCUCUCUCUGUUUGUAUCUCAACUCAUCUCUCCACUGGCCAGCUGGAGGAGAGAGAGAAUGGUUUUGGUGAACUCUUGGGAUCUAGCAAAUCUCAAUCACCAUAUACCUAAAAGUUUAAGAUUUGGUCAUCAGUGUAUGAAGAACAUGGUGUCUAUGAAAAGCCCUGUCAAUUGUACGUUCAGAGCUGUCAUCUAUAUUUCUAAAGCAAUAUUAAUUUAAAAUGCAAGCUGCGCUUACUUAUCUUAAAUGUCUCAACUGGCACGAACAGUUGAUAUGACCACAGACAUGAAUGGUUGGAAGUUCCUCAUUCUUGAUAUGAGCACUUAGCUCCAGUUUAUGAUAUAUCACAUCAAGACAACAUCAAAUGUGCAGCAUCCUUCUUAUUUCCAAGCUGAGUAAACAGACAAGAAUUUAUUCCUUUAAUUAGAUAGAUAUAUAUGUAUGCAGACAUAGCUACAUACUUAGAUAUACACACAUAAGAGGAAGGCAGAAGCAGAUGCCUCUGGAGGAGGCAGCACAAUAUUUUUAGUGGUUUACCACAUCCCAGGACAAGAUGAUAUGUAAUUCAAAGCAUUGUCACAAAUCAUAGAAUUUCAUUACUAAAUAACUUCCUUUACCCCCACUAAUACACGAAACAGAUUAUUCCUAUUGUGUAGAAUAAAAGAUAUGUCAUAUGUGAAUAAUUUGAACAUUUGAAAAGUUUGAUAUUAUAAUCCUGAAGUUCAGUUUGACGAAAGUAAACACUAAACCAUUCCAAAAUCACUGUAAAGUGUAUUCACUUUUUAGGUCCCAAGUAUAGCAGUGAGUUGCAAGUCAACUUAAUUCUGUGCUGCAGAACAAAGAGUAAUUUCUGCUGAAAACUUCUCAAUGGAUAUGUAGAUGAGAGAUGAGAUGCCAUAUUGCUGAAAUAUUCAGAAGCUGAUACCCAUACCAAGAGAAAUUCUGUAAUGUAAAACAUAUCAUUGCCUUAUUUUAUUUUUUUUUUUAAUUUCUUGCUCUGGGGUUUAUCCCUCAAUAAAUUGCCUCCUUGACUGUUGGCUUCUGGAAAAUCCUUUGGUCUGCUUGGCUUCCCAGCUGCAUAGGCUAUUCCCAGUCUCUCAGACACAAAUAAAAAGAGUUGCCUGUAGCUCUACCUAGACUGAUUGGCACAUAUGGCAAUUGAUUAACUACUAGUGACAUUGGGGGACCAUCAUGAAAUACAGCCUUUUUCCUAAGUUCCUAAUGAAAUGAUGGACUCUCCCCUUCAGGGCAGAAUCAUCCAUUAGGCCCAUGUGGUCUGAGCUGAAGGCUCUGUAUCCCACGUAGCAGUGUAAUAACCUUCUUACAAAGCAGUAACAGAGACUUCUGUGUGAGACUAACAACUUAGACAAAUGUCCUGCUUUGUCUUGCUUACAAGAGCAAUUUGGAAAUGGUUGUAUUGUUGACAGCUGUCUACCUUCCUUCUAACACUUCUGCUUCUCCCCUUAAAUUUCUCAGUGCUCAAUUGUUCUGCCCACCAAAAGUGAUGUCACAAUGGGAACACUUUCUGCUUCUGUAGUAUCUUCUCUCACAAUUUUGUAUGAUGCCUUAUGAAACGCAGUGGUCCUAGCAUUGCAGUGUGCUAGCAUGCUCAGCCCAGAAAGCAGCAGAAGCAAAGAGAAAUUCACUGACUGGUUGUGCAGGCAGAAAAACUAAAUAGGGAUUCAUAAUUGAAAAUACUAGGUGGAAGUUAUUUGAAAGUGACUGCUGGAAAUUUCCACAUAUCCUCUGAGGUGUAAUUGUCACUCUGCAAGAACUCCUAGUCUCUUGCAAACUGGAUAAAAUUGGUUAUGUAAAAUUUUGAGUGUCAAUGCCUAACACAGUCAACGGAUACAUGCCAGAAACUGAAAAGAUAUGGAGGAAAGUAAGGUUAAGGAGAUCUCACACAUUAAUACAUCAGCUUAGAACUUCCAUUGAUUUGCAUCCUGUGAGAGUGAAAACCAUCUUCUUUGUAAACAACUGAGUAAGUAUUUUGAAGAUAUUCAGGAAGCCGUAUAGUGAUACAUCAGAUAAAACCAGUCUGUAAUAAUGCCAGCUUAUGUUGGUUUUCUUUGCUUUGGGUUUUUUUUGUUUGUUUUUUUUUUUUGUUUUUUUUUUUUUUUUUUAUUGAUUUUACUUUUUCUGAAGGCCUAGGAAAAGAUUUUUUUACUUCAAAUAUCUCAGGUUUUUUUUGGUUUUUUUUUUUUUUCCAGCAACAAGUGUGAUAAAAUCUCUAUUUGUCAAGUUUUUGUUCUUUAAAAAUAAGCAUCUGGCAGUGGACUAUUGAGGUCUGUUCCAUUCUCUUUUUCCAUUUGUGCUGCCUAUGUGAUCUAUGUAUUGUCUAUAUGGGAACUUCUCAAGUCUGACAAUUGAUGGACAAUAUAGUCAGAGGUUGCUGAAGUGGUGGAUUUUUCAUUCAGCAUCACUACAAGUACAGGCAACAGGAUGGACUUGCCUUCCACAUUUCUGAAUACAUUACUGUAAAGAGAAAAAGGAGUGAAGAUGUCACCACUUCCAUCCGCUGAAACCUGUAGAAUUGUGAUUAUAUUCUGAUAGUGGUACAGUAGAGGUAGAUUUCUGAAACUGGGCCUGAGAAAAGGUGAAAACAUUUGUCAGGCCUUAAUACUGCACUCUUAAAAAUGCAGGUCAGUAUUCCCUGAAUUUUUAAGGACUUCUAAUUUUUUGCAAAGUAUCCAUAACAACAAGCAGUCCUUCUGGUCCUAUCUAGUCCUGCUUUCUAUAAACUAUAUUUUCUUUGAAAAAAUGGGAAGUGGUUUGAGUACCGGGAAGAACGUUUGCAUUAAUAUGUCUAAAUGUAGUCAAGGCAGUUAUCAUUCCACAUUUUAUCUUGAAGUAUUACUGUUCUGUCAACAUAAAAACUUCUUCAAUUAAUUCAUCACCAUUUUUUUCUCUUGUUUGAAGACAAAUCUAAAUGAAAUUCAUCUUAAUUAACCCUGGCUCUUUAUAACUUAGGAAUGAAAUCUCAGCCUUUCAACAGUGACACAAAUGUCUUGUUUGCUUAGAUUCUUAGACAUUUAACUAACACCCUUAUUUCAGUCAUUUAUGCAUAUUCAAGGGCCUCUGUCAUCAUUAAAUCCUUAAAAAUUUAUCUCUUCCUUGACACUCCUAUCCUUGUAUGCCAGAGGUCAAGGCCCAUGAAACCAUCCCUGUCCCUCUGCACAUAUCCAUGUGUGCAAAUUGGACCAAGAUUUUACCCUCUAAUAAUCCAAGUUCACCUUCACAUUCAUAUAGAAAAAAUCCAAAGGCUUCCCUUCAAAAUACUGAUGUUGCUGCUGUUGGGUGUUGUCCUACUCAUAGACAGAGGGUGAUGCAGGGAAAAGUCUGAGUUAGUUAAGGAUGAUCCUGCCCUCUGCAAUUCUCAUCCCAGACUUCCCACUGUCACAAACUGGAAAUACACUCCCGGAAUAUAUAGAUGACUUUUAUUUUUUCAGUAACAUCCCACCAUACGUGGAGGCUGGGUGUAUAAGUCAGUACUUUUGUGAAUACCAACUUGUGAGCUUAUGCUGCAUUUUCCUGUUUGGUGUGCAAUUAAGACAAAAUCUUCUUCGUAACUGGGCGGAAUGUAGAGAACAUCUUGGAGGAUAUUUCCCAGAGUAGAUCUGCUUUGCUGAAAAUCAGAAAGGUAGUACACAAAUCCAUAUCAGAAUUUUUAUUCUUGCUUACUCAAAACAGUUGUAUACAUAUUGAAGGAAAUAAAAGUAUUUCUGUGAGAGUUUCCAUAGAGUUCAGUGGUGUCAAGAUUUUUCAAGUAAACAUGUAUUGCAAAAGGCAGACUUUGAGAGAUUAGCACUGCUCUGGAUACGUUAAUUUUCCUCCUAACAAGGACACCAAUCUCUUUCAAGAGUCCUAAUUGUUCCUACUCAGAAGCCAUUAAAAAUUGUAUAUUGUAUUAUAUUGAGAGUUCAUCUAAUUUAAAUGUGAAAACUUUGUAAACAUUGGUAUUAUAUUAUGUUCCAUUCAUUCAUUUGAUCCUCUAGUACAUUAGAGGGGGAAAAUAUACAUGCAUUGAAUUCUUGAGAUUUUAUUUUAAGGGCUGCUUUAAUGAAUUCUUAAUUACAUUAUUCAAAAGGUCCAUUAUUCAGCAUUCAUCUCACUUCUAAAUGAAAGUCUUUACCUGACAUGUGAAUGAAAUGAGUCUAAAUGCUUUCCAUGCCACCUAGGGAUUCGUAAUAGACUUCUUGCUGAACGGCAGCAGCUGGUUUUCUUUCUGGUUUAAAUUUUUGUGGAUUAUUUGCAGAGAUGGACAGGUAUGAAAUAUUCGUCUUUCCCAAGCAUCAGUAAACCCUCCAGUCUCACCAGAUGUAAUGCAGCCCCAGUGCUUGAGACAGAUGAAAGAGAUAAAAUCUGGAGAGAAAAAUAUUUAUAACAUUUCUAAGGUUUUCAAAUAUACUGUAUAGUUCUCAACAAUUCUA
rnacentral:lncRNA from 1 species